rnacentral:lncRNA from 1 species
AAUUGGAAGGAGAAGAAUUAGAAAGAGAAGUGGUAGAAGAAGAAUAAUAACAAGAAAAAGAAGAUAAGGAAGAAGUAGAAAAGGAUUAGGAUAACAAAGAAGAAGAAGACGACGAUGGUAACAAUGACAAGUAUGACGACGAUGACCGUUAUGAUUAGGAAAGAUGAUAAUGAGGAUGAUUAGCUUUUAAUAUUUGUUCUUGACAUUCAUCAUUUUGUACAGUUGUAAUUUAACUUUUUAAUUGGUACUUGUUAUGAGAUGUGCGGUUGUUGUCAUUUUGUGCAAAAGUUCAAGAGUCCACCAAUCCCGUAUAAGUUCAUUCAUUAUUUAAGGAAAGCUUGUGCAAAAUAUGUCAUAAAAAUGUAU